UGUGAACAAACAAAACAGCUCAACCCCUGUUGUCCUCGUCUCUAUCCUUCCGUUGUUCUUAUUGUCUCUCUCCCUGUUGUUCAUAGCUAUGGAUGCAGAGAUCCAGGUAGCAGCACGUAGAGGAUGGAGCAGGGGCUACAUGCAUGCAGAUGCAGCAGUCGGAGCUCCUCCGGAGCAGGCCAACUCUUGGAGGGCAGCAAGUCCAUCAACGACGACAGCGGUUCAGUUGGAUGGCGGAGUUACAGAGCCACAGAGGUGGCUGCCAGGU
rnacentral:lncRNA from 1 species